GCCGUUGUGUUUUUUUUUAAUUAUAUUUGACGUUUUGUUUAUCUGUUCCUGACAACGAUAACUAACUAAAUUUUUCAAUUAAACGUGAUACUAUUUAUACAUAUUCAGCUCCAACAAUUUGAUAUGUACUCCCACAAGUGUACUCAAGUAGCAGGUCUAUAACAUAAAUGUUUCUAUUAAUAUUUAUUAAUGAUUGUUCUUUAACAUCGUUGAAAUAAGUACAAACAACACAAAUUCAAUAAUACGCAUUCAUAUGAAUUAUAUGAGAAACAGUUACAAUCCUAUUUAAGUUACAAUAUCAGAAUUCAAUUGCGUAAAAAUUUAUAAAAAUUACAAACAUAAUUUUGAAUCCGUGUUAUCUACACAAGUUAUAUCCGGAGUGCCUUUAAAAGUACAAAUGCCCAUCGUUCUAAUAAUAGAUUUUAUGUCUGUUGAUAUACAGAACAGACCAAAAUGUCAAAUUAAAAGAACAAGCGAAACUCAUUUUUAUAAUUUCGAGUGUCAUUUCCGACAAAAACAAUUCAAAAUUGAUUAUAGUGAAAUUGUAAACAAACCUGCCGUCAUCGAUUUGUUAUCGUUUUACAUCUGUAGGGUGAAGUGCAAAACAAAUUAACCAGCGGUAAUAAAGUUUUUUUUUUGAUGAAAAAAAAAAAUAAACAGCUAAUUUUAAACUGUUUAAUUGAGAUCCAUGUCUUCACUUAACAACAUAUCAUUUUGCAGGACAAGAACAAUGGUUUUAUUACUUUUUUACGACAAAACAAUGUUCAUCAAUCAAGAUAAUAUGAACACAAAUAUUUGAACGGUUCCUGGAAACGUUAUCUUACUUACAGGAAGUUUGCAUGCGUUAUGUAAAGUAGAUUUUUCCAGUCACAUAUUUGAUAUAGUCCGAAUGAUCUAAUUACAAACAGACCAAAGGAUUGUACCGAACACCCAGUCAUUUAAGGAAAUUUCGAAUCACUUGAAUUCAGAUUCAGGUACACGUUCACUGGCACUUGUGUCUAUCCAUGGGAAGACCCACUAUCAACGUACAUUUACGAGAAGGUACUCAACUACUUUUUUCACCUCUCUGCUUAAAACACUUAUUUCUCUGUCAAUUCAGUCUCAAAUUUCUUGUCCCAUACACCAUUCGAUUCAUAAAAAGUUUUUCUUUCAGAUGAUAUGCAUUGUAUUUACCCUUAGAUUACUCCUUUAACCCCAAUACACAAGAUUUGUCAAUAAAUUUUCAUGUAAUCGUUUUUAGUCCUCCUACAAAAUACAACAACUUCUGUUUUAGAUAAUUUGCAUAAAACAGUGAAGGAUAAGUCUAAAGAGUCACAAAUGAUUAAUG
rnacentral:lncRNA from 1 species